rnacentral:lncRNA from 1 species
GGAGAUCGACGGUGGCCUCGAAAAGUCUGGCUUCAUCCUCAGAUGCUUCAUCCAGGAAGCCGAGAUCGAGUUCGGAAAACUUCCCGACCAUCUUCUCCUAGCAAAGCUCAAAGCCUUUGAUGAAGGCAGCCUAGCCAAACUGGAUCUUCAAAUCCCUCAUCUCGGAGGAGGUCUUGAACUCUUCCAAUGCUCGGACCCUUGCCUUC